AAGGGUCUAGCUCAGUGGCAGAGUGCAUGCUUAGCAUGCAUGAGGUCAGGGGUUCAACCCCCAGUACCUUC
rnacentral:tRNA from 1 species